UACGUAGGAGGCGAGCGUUGUCCGGAGUUACUGGGCGUAAAGGGUGCGUAGGCGGCUGCGCGCGUGGAGGGUGAAAUCUCUCGGCUUACCCGGGAGGGGGCUUUCCAGACGGCGUGGCUUGAGGGACGGAGAGGGGCGUGGAAUUCCGGGUGGAGCGGUGAAAUGCGUAGAGAUCGAGAGGAACACCUGAGGUGAAGACGGGUUGCUGGGCCGACACUGACGCUGAUGCGCGAAAGCCAGGGGAGCAAACGGG
rnacentral:rRNA from 1 species